CCUACGGGUGGCUGCAGUGGGGAAUAUUGCACAAUGGGGGGAACCCUGAUGCAGCCACGCCGCGUGGGUGAAGAAGUACUCCGGUAUGUAAAGCCCUGUCAGCAGGGAAGAAAAUGACGGUACCUGACCAAGAAGCCCCGGCUAACUACGUGCCAACAGCCGCGGUAAUACGUAGGGGGCAAGCGUUAUCCGGCUUUACUGGGUGUAACGGGAGCGUAGACGGCAGGGCAAGUCGGGAGUGAAAGCCCGGGGCCAAACCCCGGGACUGCUUUGGAAACUGGGUGGCUGGAGUGCAGGAGGGGUAAGCGGAAUUCCUGGUGUAGCGGUGAAAUGCGUAGAGAUUAGGAGGAACACCGGUGGCGAAGGCGGCUUACUGGACUGAAACUGACGUUGAGGCUCGAAGGCGUGGGGAGCAAACAGGAUUAGAUACCCCAGUAGUC
rnacentral:rRNA from 1 species